AUUGAACGCUAGCGGGAUGCCUUACACAUGAAAGUCGAACGGAGUGGCGAACGGGUGAGUAAUGUAUCGGAACGUGCCCAGUAGCGGGGGAUAACUACGCGAAAACGUAGCUAAUACCGCAUACUAUUGGAGCGGCCGAUAUCGGAUUAGCUAGUUGGUGGGGUAAAGGCUAACCAAGGCGCAGAUCCGUAUCUGGUUUGAGAGGAAGACCAGCCACACUGGGACUGAAACACGGCCCAGACUCCUACGCGAGGCAGCAGUGGGAAAUUUUGGACAAUGGGGGAAACCCUGAGCCAGGCACCCCGCGUGUGCGAUGAAGGCCUUCGGGUUGUAAAGGACUUUUGGCAGGAAAGAGGUACCUGCAGAAUAAGCACCGGCUAACUACGUGCCAGCAGCCGCGGUAAUUC
rnacentral:rRNA from 1 species